UACAGAGGUCUCAAGCGUUGUUCGGAUUCAUUGGGCGUAAAGGGUGCGUAGGUGGCGAGGCAAGUCAGAUGUGAAAUCCCGGGGCUCAACCCCGGAACUGCAUUUGAAACUGCCUUGCUCGAGUACUGGAGAGGAGACUGGAAUUUACGGUGUAGCAGUGAAAUGCGUAGAUAUCGUAAGGAAGACCAGUGGCGAAGGCGGGUCUCUGGACAGUUCCUGACGCUGAGGCACGAAGGUCAGGGGAGCAAACGGG
rnacentral:rRNA from 1 species